GCCCCCAUGGUCUAGCUGGUUAGGGCAUCGGUCUCAUAAUCCGAAAAUCGUGGGUUCGAUCCCCACUGGAGGCA
rnacentral:tRNA from 1 species